rnacentral:rRNA from 1 species
AGUGAACGCUGGCGGUAGGCCUAACACAUGCAAGUCGAACGGCAGCACAGUAAGAGCUUGCUCUUACGGGUGGCGAGUGGCGGACGGGUGAGGAAUACAUCGGAAUCUACUUUUUCGUGGGGGAUAACGUAGGGAAACUUACGCUAAUACCGCAUACGACCUACGGGUGAAAGCAGGGGAUCUUCGGACCUUGCGCGAUUGAAUGAGCCGAUGUCGAAUUAGCUAGUUGGCGGGGUAAAGGCCCACCAAGGCGACGAUCCGUAGCUGGUCUGAGAGGAUGAUCAGCCACACUGGAACUGAGACACGGUCCAGACUCCUACGGGAGGCAGCAGUGGGGAAUAUUGGACAAUGGGCGCAAGCCUGAUCCAGCCAUACCGCGUGGGUGAAGAAGGCCUUCGGGUUGUAAAGCCCUUUUGUUGGGAAAGAAAAGCAGCAGGUUAAUACCCCGCUGUUCUGACGGUACCCAAAGAAUAAGCACCGGCUAACUUCGU